UUUUUUGUUAUUGUUUUUGUUUGUCUAUGUUAAAUUUCGGCGUUAAUACAGGAAUCUAUUGUUGCCUAUUAAGUCUGAAUCUAUUGAAUUAAUCAUCUAGUGUUGGUUUGUUCUUUCCUGUGGAACUGUGAGUGUAAUUAUUAGGGGAAUUGUUGUUCGUACUUCGUUUAUGAUUUUUCUGUGUAAUUUUUGUAGCUUCUGUUUUGGAAAAAGGUUAAUGCGGUGUCUGGUUCUAGAGAUUUUGUUGUUUCUUUUUAUGAAAAGUAUCAGAUAGCCCGUGAAAUCUUUUCCUAAUUUGAAACAACAUUGAUGCCUGUUCUUCUCUUUAUAUGGCUUCCAAGUUUGGCUUUUCUGAUUUAGAUCACCUUUUGCAGGAUAGCUUUGGUCAAUUUAUCAUGUGUUUCUGUUUAUCCAUUGUUCUCUCAUGAGUCGUGACCAUUGAAUGAAUUGAGCUGAUUAAAUGACCGCAUUCUUGUUGGUUUGGCUCCAGAAGGAUCCCAUUUUGAAUUCCACCAUUAUGAUGCUGAAAUGAAUGAGAAAAUUAAUGGCGGGAGAUUCUAAAUAUUUUGAAGAAACCCAUUACGCAGAACCAGAAGCGAAUUCUCAGUCUCCAGCGAAGAAAAAGAAGAAGAGUGAAAAGAAGAAGAAACGAGUUCCACCUGUGAAUACAAAAAUCCAAGUCCUCAGCAACCAUCCUGAGAAGAUUCCACCAUUAGUUGGUUAUUUCCCCUCUGGGUAUGAUCCUAACAAGGAUCCCAAUGAGGAAGCGGUCGAGGAACAAAAUUCUGUAAGGGCUAAGGUUUAUAGGCACAAGAAAAAACCAAAUAGGAUGCAGCUGGUUGUAAGUCCAACAGGGUUGAAUGUGGAUUUUGUUGGUACCAAUUACUUGGGUGAGGCUACUGCUGGAAAACAACAUUGCAGCUAUGCUCUCGGUGUUCUUGAUAAGGCAACCCAAAGCUUAAAGAUUGUGCCUAUUGCAUCAAAUAUGAUAUUUAGAUUGGAUCCUAAAGUUAGAGGUUCAGAUGUUCCUGAAAGUGAAUCCCCAAGUGUGGCGAACGACGAGCUCUCUGUGCAGGAGAAAGCUGAUAGAAUGAGAGAGCUCAGCAAUCUCUAUGGAACGAAGAAGUCGAUAAAACAGGCAAAGAAGCUGCUUUCUUUGAAGCAAGAGGAUGAUCCUGAGACCAAGAAGGAUCUAGAUGGGAAAAUGAAAAAUGUUGUGGUAAACAAAGAGGCGUUGGAAAGUUCGAAUGCACAAAUUUCUCGUAAUAUACCGACAUAUAAUGCUUCUGCAACGACUCCACAAGAAGCUUACCCCCUCGACAAGAUUAUCCUCAAGGGAGAAUGGGGUUUCCUGGAAGAUCUUUAUUUCCUUUUGCAAGCAGAAUCUGAAAUAAGUGCCAAUUAUCCAGCCUUUGUCCGCAACAGAAUUUAUAAAUUGCAAGACAUUCAGGAUGAGGAAGAGAAAAAGAAGCUCUGCUGCAUAUAUUCAUACAUCACUCAUCUAAUAAAGUAUAAGGAUCAGCAUUCUAUGGAUGGCGUUUCUUCUGUUAAGGGCCAUAAAAUUCCUAGCAUGCUACGACAAAAGUUCUCAUCCAUGUUUUCAACUACGGAGUCGAGAAGACUGUCAGCAGAGAAAACCGAUCUUCUCAUUAGCCACGUUUUGGUGCUCGCGUUAUUCGCCGAUGAAUUCAGCAGCGAUCCAUCUGACAUAGCAAGGGAUCUGAGAACUAGUCCUUUCACUCUAAGAGUCCAUUAUGACAAUCUGGGUUGCAAGUUUAUACGCAAGAACAACUUGUCAUUGGUUACGCUUCCUGUCCCGCUUCAAUUUCCCGAGUUGAGGCAAAAGAGACGACGAUAAGCAAGAUGGUUAGAUUGUAGUAGUUACACUGUUGUUGUAAUUUAAAGAAGUUGAAUUCUGUACAGGAAAAGGUUGAGCAGUUUUGUUGAGUAAAACGGCUCUGUGGCAUAGAAUGGCGUUUUCUUAUUUGGAAGUUGGAACUUUGGAUGGUGAAGCUUAAUCAGACAGAGUCAAAUGAUGAGGUUUCGUUUCUUCUUCCUACCCGUGAUUUAGUUUUUGACUUUCGAUCGAGAUUAUGAUCAUGUCUUGUUUUUUUUUAGAGAUUUGAAUCAUUCAAUUUCUUGGUCGAGAGUUUGUGUUUUAGUCCUUAUUAUAUGAGUCGGUGUUCGGUUGAGUUUAACGAACUUAUUUUCAUUUCUCCUUAUGACAAUUUACUGUAUUUUGUAAA